rnacentral:rRNA from 1 species
AGAGUUUGAUCAUGGCUCAGGACGAACGCUGGCGGCGUGCUUAACACAUGCAAGUGGAGCGACGAACCGGGGCUUGCCCCGGGGCAGAGCCGCGAACGGGUGAGUAACACGUGGGUAACCCACCUCGAUGAUUGGGACAACCCGGGGAAACUCGGGCUAAUACCAAAUGUGCUCGUAGACCAUGAGGUCCAUGAGUAAAGAUAGCUUCGGCCUUCGCAUCGAGACGGGCCCGCGGCCCAUUAGCUUGUUGGUGAGGUAACGGCUCACCAAGGCGACGAUGGGUAGCUGGUCUGAGAGGACGAUCAGCCACACUGGGACUGAGACACGGCCCAGACUCCUACGGGAGGCAGCAGUGGGGAAUCUUGCGCAAUGCGCGAAAGCGUGACGCAGCAACGCCGCGUGGAGGAAGACGGUCUUCGGAUUGUAAACUCCUUUCAGUUGGGACGAAGCUCAAUGGGUUAAUAGCCCAGCGGAGUGACGGUACCUUCAGAAGAAGCCCCGGCUAACUACGUGCCAGCAGCGGCGGUAAUAC